rnacentral:rRNA from 1 species
GAUGAACGCUGGCGGCGUGCCUAAUACAUGCCAGUCGAGCGAACAGACGAGGAGCUUGCUCCUCUGACGUUAGCGGCGGACGGGUGAGUAACACGUGGAUAACCUACCUAUAAGACUGGGAUAACUUCGGGAAACCGGAGCUAAUACCGGAUAAUAUAUUGAACCGCAUGGUUCAAUAGUGAAAGACGGUUUUGCUGUCACUUAUAGAUGGAUCCGCGCCGCAUUAGCUAGUUGGUAAGGUAACGGCUUACCAAGGCAACGAUGCGUAGCAGACCUGAGAGGGUGAUCGGCCACACUGGAACUGAGACACGGUCCAGACUCCUACGGGAGGCAGCAGUAGGGAAUCUUCCGCAAUGGGCGAAAGCCUGACGGAGCAACGCCGCGUGAGUGAUGAAGGUCUUCGGAUCGUAAAACUCUGUUAUUAGGGAAGAACAAAUGUGUAAGUAACUAUGCACGUCUUGACGGUACCUAAUCAGAAAGCCACGGCUAACUACGUG